rnacentral:lncRNA from 1 species
GGUUUGAGUACCAGGCGGUUCCACCAUGUCGAAGGUGUCCUUUAAAAUCACGCUGACGUCGGACCCGCGGCUACCGUACAAAGUCCUCAGCGUUCCUGAAAGCACACCUUUCACAGCUGUGCUAAAGUUUGCAGCAGAAGAGUUUAAAGUUCCUGCUGCUACAAGUGCGAUUAUUACUAAUGGUAAGAAUUCACUUUUAACCUUAAAUGCUAGAGGCAGUCCCCAUAGCCCCUAGAAACGUUUUUCUGAAGCACGGCUCAGAGCUGCGGCUCAUUCCUCGAGACCGAGUUGGGAGCUGCUAAUGUAUGCUUCUUGGAAUGCACAGCCUCUCAGAAUGAACACUGGGAUUUGUUGUUGCUGUACAAUUGAAAUCAGGCAUUCACAGCACAAUGGAAGCACCGAGAAUCAGCGGAACAGGGAACCUUGACGCUUGUCCCUUCCUGUUCAUUUUUUCAUGGGAAGAGAGAAUGCCUUUGAGUGGAGGGUACCACACCACAGGUCACACCGUGGUGACUGCUGCCUCACCAGAAGAGAGUACCUCUGUGACAAAUGGACUGUGCUUUAAAACAAAAACAGCAAAACUGGAGGAUAAGUCUGCUAAUUCUUUUCAGGAGCAUUUGGAAAAAUUAAAAUUCACAGAAUCAUAUGUAUCUUCUAAUUUUGAAAUUUAAAAGGAUAAUUGAUCAUAGAAGCAUUUGGCUUGACAGCAUCUCUUAGUUAGACUUUUAAAUUAUAUAAUUUGUGAUGAACUUAAUAGGUAUUUGAAUGAACAGUUAAAUUUAUAUAAAACCAAACAUUGAAUUAUGGAAUCUAACCAUUGUAAGUUGCUGUUGUGCAUCGAAUAGCUUCAACAAUAAUGACCCUGUGAAAUCAAGUGUCAUGGUGGGAGCUGACAGUACCACAGGAGCACCCUUAGCUAUAUUAUGAAUUCCUUGAUAAAGAAUAAAGCUUUAAGACAGAAGUCCUUAAACCAU